rnacentral:rRNA from 1 species
AGUGAACGCUGGCGGUAGGCCUAACACAUGCAAGUCGAACGGCAGCACAGUAAGAGCUUGCUCUUACGGGUGGCGAGUGGCGGACGGGUGAGGAAUACAUCGGAAUCUACUUUUUCGUGGGGGAUAACGUAGGGAAACUUACGCUAAUACCGCAUACGACCUACGGGUGAAAGCAGGGGAUCUUCGGACCUUGCGCGAUUGAAUGAGCCGAUGUCGGAUUAGCUAGUUGGCGGGAUAAAGGCCCACCAAGGCGACGAUCCGUAGCUGGUCUGAGAGGAUGAACCGCCAACAGUGGACCAAAAACCCGGCCCAACCCCCCACGGGGGGCAGCAGUGGGGAUUUUGGAAAAAUGGGCGCAACCCUGACCCCCCCUCCCCGCGUGGGUGAAGAAGCCCUCUGGGUUGUAAACCCUUUUUGUGGGAAAAAAAAAACAGCGGUUUAACCCCCCGCUUUUCGGAGGGUCCCAAAAGAAAAAGCACCGCCAACCUUCGU